ACCGUUGCCCGAUGCCAAUUGCCUCGCGAUAGGUACUUUGGUUGUGCAGGGUGAAUGUUGGCUUCCCGUGAGCAUUGCGGCCUCACGGUUGGCUCAAAACUGAGUCCAUGGUAGGGUUUGGCAUGAUCGAUGGUGGUUGAGUGACGCUCGAGACCAAUCAUGUGUGACUCCACUGAGUUUGGGCUCUGUAACCAAUAGGCGUCUUUGAACGCUCGUGAU
rnacentral:misc_RNA from 1 species